UCCGGUUUGGCACCGGCAGUCCCCCGAGAGUCCUCAGCACCUGUGCUGGAGCUCCGAAGAGGGGCCGAUGUUUCCACCGGCUUUCCCCAGCAUGUCAAGCCUAGGUAAGGUUCUGCGCGUUGCGUCGAAUUAAACCACAUGCUCCACCGCUUGUGCGGGCCCCCGUCAAUUCCUUUGAGUUUCAGCCUUGCGGCCGUACUCCCCAGGCGGGGCACUUCAUGCGUUAGCGCCGGUACUCCAAGGGUCGCUCCCCGGAGCACCUAGUGCCCAUCGUUUACAGCGUGGACUAC
rnacentral:misc_RNA from 1 species